rnacentral:rRNA from 1 species
UAGAGUAACACGUAGGUAACCUGCCCAUGUGCCCGGGAUAACUUCUGGAAACGGAUGCUAAAACCGGAUAGGUAGCAGACAAGCAUUUGACUGCUAUUAAAGUGGCUAAGGCCAUGAACAUGGAUGGACCUGCGGUGCAUUAGCUAGUUGGUGAGGUAACGGCCCACCAAGGCGACGAUGCAUAGCCGGCCUGAGAGGGCGGACGGCCACAUUGGGACUGAGACACGGCCCAAACUCCUACGGGAGGCAGCAUG